rnacentral:rRNA from 1 species
UUUAUCGGAGAGUUUGAUCCUGGCUCAGGACGAACGCUGGCGGCGUGCCUAAUACAUGCAAGUCGAGCGGACAGAUGGGAGCUUGCUCCCUGAUGUUAGCGGCGGACGGGUGAGUAACACGUGGGUAACCUGCCUGUAAGACUGGGAUAACUCCGGGAAACCGGGGCUAAUACCGGAUGCUUAUUUGAACCGCAUGGUUCAAAUAUAAAAGGUGGCUUCGGCUACCACUUACAGAUGGACCCGCGGCGCAUUAGCUAGUUGGUGAGGUAACGGCUCACCAAGGCAACGAUGCGUAGCCGACCUGAGAGGGUGAUCGGCCACACUGGGACUGAGACACGGCCCAGACUCCUACGGGAGGCAGCAGUAGGGAAUCUUCCGCAAUGGACGAAAGUCUGACGGAGCAACGCCGCGUGAGUGAUGAAGGUUUUCGGAUCGUAAAGCUCUGUUGUUAGGGAA